rnacentral:rRNA from 1 species
AGCAGCCGCGGUAAUUCAGCUCCAAUAGCGUAUAUUAAAGUUGUUGCAGUUAAAAAGCUCGUAGUUGAAUUUCGGGGUUAGUAGGUUGGUCAUGCCUCUGGUAUGUACUGGUCUCACUGAUUCCUCCUUCCUGAUGAACCGUAAUGCCAUCAAUUUGGUGUGGCGGGGAAUUUGGACUGUUACUUUGAAAAAAUUAGAGUGUUUAAAGCAAGCUAACGCUUGAAUACAUUAGCAUGGAAUAAUGAAAUAGGACGUUCGAUCCUAUUUUGUUGGUUUCUAGGAUUGACGUAAUGAUUAAUAGGGAUAGUUGGGGGCAUUAGUAUUCAAUUGUCAGAGGUGAAAUUCUUGGAUUUAUUGAAGACUAACUACUGCGAAAGCAUUUGCCAAGGAUGUUUUCAUUAAUCAAGAACGAAAGUUAGGGGAUCGAAGACGAUCAGAUACCGUCGUAGUCUUAACCAUAAACUAUGCCGACUAGGGAUCGGAUGAUGUUAAUUUUUUAAUGACUCA